rnacentral:tRNA from 1 species
GCGGGUAUAGUUCAUCGGUAGAACGGAAGCUUCCCAAGCUUCAGAGAGGGGUUCGAUUCCCCUUACCCGCUCCA